rfam:Oryza barthii chromosome 7, whole genome shotgun sequence.
AAUGUAUGACGCCGUUGACUUUUUGUCCAACGUUUGACCAUUCGUCUUAUUCAAAAAAUUUAUGUAAUUAUCAAUUAUUUUAUUACGACUUGAUUCGUCAUCAAAUGUUCUUUAAGCAUGAUAUAAAUAGUUUCAUAUUUACACAAAAAUUUUGAAUAAAACGAAUGGUCAAACGUUGGUUGAGAAGUCAACGGCGUCACACAUU